CGUGUUGUGGCGACGCUGAAAGUCAGACGUGUUGAGCGCAAGGCAGCAAAAAAUCAAAAUCAAACAUAGUGCAAAGUUGAGAACAGUUUUGAAGUUUGCCCGCUGGCAAACUCGCGACUAACGAUUGUGCAUGACCCGCUGCAAUUGUGCCUUUUUCAAGUGGAAAUGCUAAAGAGAACCUCAAUUGAGCAGAGACAAACAAA